AACGAACGCUGGCGGCGUGUCUUAAGCAUGCAAGUCGAGCGGCAAGGGCAGCAAUGCCCCUAGAGCGGCGGACUGGUGAGUAACGCGUGGGUGAUCUGCCUCGGGGUUGGGGAUAGCCAUUAGAAAUAGUGGGUAAUACCGAAUACGCUCCCUUGAUUGCGGUCAGGGGAGGAAAGGCGCUACGGCGCCGACCUGAGAUGAGCCCGCGUCCCAUUAGCUAGUUGGUGAGGUAACGGCCCACCAAGGCUAUGAUGGGUAGGCGGCCUGAGAGGGUGUACGCCCACAUUGGGACUGAGAUACGGCCCAAACUCCUACGGGUGGCAG
rnacentral:rRNA from 1 species